GACCACCAUCGGGUUCUUGGUCACCUCUCUGACUAAGGCCCUUCUCCCCCGAUCCCUCAGUUUAGACUGGCGUCCAGCUCUAGAAGUGUCCUAAUGGAUGAUGGAGGCCACUGUGCUCACUGGAACCUUCAAA